rnacentral:rRNA from 1 species
UACGAAGGGGGCUAGCGUUGCUCGGAAUCACUGGGCGUAAAGCGCACGUAGGCGGCUUUUUAAGUCAGAGGUGAAAUCCUGGAGCUCAACUCCAGAACUGCCUUUGAUACUGGAGAGCUUGAGUCCGGGAGAGGUGAGUGGAACUGCGAGUGUAGAGGUGAAAUUCGUAGAUAUUCGCAAGAAUACCAGUGGCGAAGGCGGCUCACUGGCCCGGUACUGACGCUGAGGUGCGAAAGCGUGGGGAGCAAACAGG